rnacentral:rRNA from 1 species
GAUGAACGCUGGCGGCGUGCCUAAUACAUGCAAGUCGAGCGAACAGAUGAGGAGCUUGCUCCUCUGACGUUAGCGGCGGACGGGUGAGUAACACGUGGAUAACCUACCUAUAAGACUGGGAUAACUUCGGGAAACCGGAGCUAAUACCGGAUAAUAUAUUGAACCGCAUGGUUCAAUAGUGAAAGACGGUUUUGCUGUCACUUAUAGAUGGAUCCGCGCCGCAUUAGCUAGUUGGUAAGGUAACGGCUUACCAAGGCAACGAUGCGUAGCCGACCUGAGAGGGUGAUCGGCCCCCCUGGAACUGAGACACGGUCCAGACUCCUACGGGAGGCAGCAGUAGGGAAUCUUCCGCAAUGGGCGAAAGCCUGACGGAGCAACGCCGCGUGAGUGAUGAAGGUCUUCGGAUCGUAAAACUCUUUUAUUUGGGAAGAACAAAUGUGUAAGUAACUAUGCACGUCUUGACGGUACCUAAUCAGAAAGCCACGGCUAACUACGUG